rnacentral:rRNA from 1 species
AGCUUGCUUCUCUUGAGAGCGGCGGACGGGUGAGUAAUGCCUAGGAAUCUGCCUGGUAGUGGGGGAUAACGUUCGGAAACGAACGCUAAUACCGCAUACGUCCUACGGGAGAAAGCAGGGGACCUUCGGGCCUUGCGCUAUCAGAUGAGCCUAGGUCGGAUUAGCUAGUUGGUGAGGUAAUGGCUCACCAAGGCGACGAUCCGUAACUGGUCUGAGAGGAUGAUCAGUCACACUGGAACUGAGACACGGUCCAGACUCCUACGGGAGGCAGCAGUGGGGAAUAUUGGACAAUGGGCGAAAGCCUGAUCCAGCCAUGCCGCGUGUGUGAAGAAGGUCUUCGGAUUGUAAAGCACUUUAAGUUGGGAGGAAGGGCAUUAACCUAAUACGUUGGUGUCUUGACGUUACCGACAGAAUAAGCACCGGCUAACUCUGUGCCAGCAGCCGCGGUAAUACAGAGGGUGCAAGCGUUAAUCGGAAUUACUGGGCGUAAAGCGCGCGUAGGUGGUUUGUUAAGUUGGAUGUGAAAUCCCCGGGCUCAACCUGGGAACUGCAUUCAAAACUGACAAGCUAGAGUAUGGUAGAGGGUGGUGGAAUUUCCUG